rfam:Dehalogenimonas sp. WBC-2, complete genome.
AAAUUAACAAAAGAAAAUCCGAAGACAGCCGGUGUCCCUGUUAUGGGACUUAAUGCAAUGCCUGCCGAGGAACCGAUUAGGGUAUUUGAAUAUCCUUUUGUGAGUCCUUGCGUGCAGGGACUUUUUUAUUAUUAAC